rnacentral:rRNA from 1 species
UACGGAGGGUGCGAGCGUUAAUCGGAAUUACUGGGCGUAAAGCGCGCGUAGGCGGUUUGUUAAGUCAGCUGUGAAAGCCCCGGGCUCAACCUGGGAACUGCAGUUGAUACUGUCCGACUAGAGUACGAGAGAGGGAGGUAGAAUUCCAUGUGUAGCGGUGAAAUGCGUAGAUAUAUGGAGGAAUACCAGUGGCGAAGGCGGCCUCCUGGCUCGAUACUGACGCUGAGGUGCGAAAGCGUGGGGAGCAAACAGG